rnacentral:rRNA from 1 species
CACGUAGGGCGCGAGCGUUGUCCGGAAUUAUUGGGCGUAAAGAGCUCGUAGGCGGCCUGUUGCGUCCGCUGUGAAAGCCCGGGGCUUAACCCCGGGUCUGCAGUGGAUACGGGCAGGCUAGAGGUAGGCAGGGGAGAAUGGAAUUCCCGGUGUAGCGGUGAAAUGCGCAGAUAUCAGGAAGAACACCCGUGGCGAAGGCGGCUCUCUGGUACGUGACUGACGCUGAGACGCGAAAGCGUGGGGAGCAAACAGG